CGCAGGAAGCAAGUUGAUCCCCUUCGGGGGUGACGCUUGUGGAAUGAGCGGCGGACGGGUGAGUAACACGUGGGCAACCUGCCUGUAAGACUGGGAUAACCCCGGGAAACCGGGGCUAAUACCGGAUAAUACUUUCUUUUGCAUAAAGGAAAGUUGAAAGGCGGCUUCGGCUGUCACUUACAGAUGGGCCCGCGGCGCAUUAGCUAGUUGGUGAGGUAACGGCUCACCAAGGCGACGAUGCGUAGCCGACCUGAGAGGGUGAUCGGCCACACUGGGACUGAGACACGGCCCAGACUCCUACGGGAGGCAGCAGUAGGGAAUCUUCCGCAAUGGACGAAAGUCUGACGGAGCAACGCCGCGUGAGUGAUGAAGGUUUUCGGAUCGUAAAACUCUGUUGUUAGGGAAGAACAAGUUGGGUAGUAACUGACCCAACCUUGACGGUACCUAACCAGAAAGCCACGGCUAACUACGUGCCAGCAGCCGCGGUAAUACGUAGGUGGCAAGCGUUGUCCGGAAUUAUUGGGCGUAAAGCGCUCGCAGGCGGUCCUUUAAGUCUGAUGUGAAAUCUCGCGGCUCAACCGCGAACGGUCAUUGGAAACUGGAGGACUUGAGUACAGAAGAGGAGAGUGGAAUUCCACGUGUAGCGGUGAAAUGCGUAGAGAUGUGGAGGAACACCAGUGGCGAAGGCGACUCUCUGGUCUGUAACUGACGCUGAGGAGC
rnacentral:rRNA from 1 species